rnacentral:rRNA from 1 species
CAACCAUGUGACCAUACCAAACUGUUGCCUCGGCGGGGUCACGCCCCGGCCNAGANCNAGCCCCGGAACCAGGCGCCCGCCGGAGGGACCAACCAAACUCUUUUCUGUAGUCCCCUCGCGGACGUUAUUUCUUACAGCUCUGAGCAAAAAUUCAAAAUGAAUCAAAACUUUCAACAACGGAUCUCUUGGUUCUGGCAUCGAUGAAGAACGCAGCGAAAUGCGAUAAGUAAUGUGAAUUGCAGAAUUCAGUGAAUCAUCGAAUCUUUGAACGCACAUUGCGCCCGCCAGUAUUCUGGCGGGCAUGCCUGUCCGAGCGUCAUUUCAACCCUCGAACCCCUCCGGGGGGUCGGCGUUGGGGAUCGGGAACCCCUAAGACGGGAUCCCGGCCCCGAAAUACAGUGGCGGUCUCGCCGCAGCCUCUCCUGCGCAGUAGUUUGCACAACUCGCACCGGGAGCGCGGCGCGUCCACGUCCGUAAAACACCCAACUUCUGAAAUGUUGACCUCGGAUCAGGUAGGAAUACCCGCUGAACUUAAGCAUAUCAAUAGCNG